rnacentral:lncRNA from 1 species
UCAUACAUAGUUUUUCUUUCAAAUUUUGUAAGCAGAAUUGCAAUAUUUAUUAAUAACAAAAUUACAAGGUUAUACUAAUAAACUCAUGAAUCAAAGAGAGGCUUAAAACAGAACAUAUUUCUUAGGAGGGAAUAAAACACUACACACACACACUCUACACACAUACAACCCCACCUCCACCUGCACUACCGGCAGUCGCCGCUACAGUACCUCCAGCCGCCGCAGCACUGGCUGCUGUUGCUGAAUCGCGCUUCUUCUUAGACGUCGUUUGAGGUUUAUCACCGCAGUCUCCACAACCAAUGGUUAGCAUAGAUAAAAUCGAUAAAGACAUAACGAUCGUGCCAAGCAUAAACAUGAAUCCCAAGCCCUCAAACAUAAGACUUCCUCCACUUGCAGCAUUGCCACCAUUUGCAACAACGUAGUACCGAGCCAUUUUGAUCCCAAAAAAGAUGAUAUUUUGAGUCCUAUUAAACAUAGAACAAACACAUAUAUAUAGUUGCUUGUAUUUAUAUAUAAUAUUUGGUCAUUUUCAUUUCCAAUUUACUUGUGUAGACCCGUAACCACUUUUACAAUAUCUUUCGGACUUCAAUUACUCGAAGUCGGCUAGAAAAUUCUAUAGAUAACACUAGUAUUUCAUAAUCAAACUUGAAUAAUAUUAUACUAUCUCAUUAUAAUAUGUUAAAUUAUCUUGUUAUGAUAAAUAUAAAAUAUUAAAUUUUGUCGGGAACUAUCCAAUGAUUCCAAUCCAAAUUGGAUUAGUUUCAUUGGUUGUAGUUAACAAGCAGACGAGUUGUGGGUCUUACAAUAGAUAACCAAAUAAUUUUGUUAAGAGAAAAAUUUUACAUCGAAUAAAUAUAAAAUAAAUGAUCAACAUAUAAUUAUGGUACGAUAUCUCGUCUAUAUUCUAAGUUUCUUUAUAGUCUCUCAAUUAAUAUCUACUCAAUCAUAUUAUAUAAAUUUACAUAAUAUAUAGUCAAAAUAAACGACAGUUUUAUAGCUUGAAAGGAAAUUGUGGAAGGGAGAAGAAAAUUACAUAUUAAUUCGGACUUCACAAUUUAUUUUUUGAGUAUAAAAUAACCUGUUUCUAAACCUUCUGAGUCCAGUUAAUUUUGGAUUUGGAUAGAAGCAAGCUAAAGCAAUCUUGAUAAGGCAUUGACUUGAGUUCUCCAUUGAUUUUGAUGUCGGAUUCCUUAUUUAUUAUUUUCAAUUUCUAAUGAAAACUUAUUAAUCUAGUUCUCAAAAAAUCAAAAAGAAAAAACCCGACUACUAUUCCUACCAGUACGCGAGUUGAAAUAUCACACCACGUCAUGUAUACUAACAAAAAUAAUUUUGUAACUGUUGUAGCUUGACCGUCUUCUUUAUGUCCCAUCACUAAAAUUUUGACAUCUUAAUGCAAUUUGAUAUUUUGCAUUCUCAACUAUGUCCAUUGAAAUUUUAACACCUCAAAAUUUUAUUGAGGUAUCAAGAUUUUAGGGAUGCAAUACCCAAGUCAAGACAACUUUAAAUAAAAAAAUAAUUUAUAAGAAUGUAUCACACACUACUCUUAACAAAGGAAUUGUAAAAAAAGUUUUUACCUAAAUAUAUUCACUUAAAACUACCACAAGGAUUGAAACAAGUAAUUUAACUUAAUUUUUGGGUAGCACUAUGAAUAGCGGAUAGCAAGUAGCGUGGUAUAUAAAUUCAAUAGUCACGAUUUCCUACACUGAUCAUCACCACCAACCAACAAAAAAGUAAAAAAUAAAAAAUAGAAGAAAAACGAAUAUGUAUUGAAAAAAUUACAAGGUAGAACUGCAAUGUUUCUGAUAUAACAACGUAGAUUAAAACACCGCUUAUUAAAUGAACCACAAAAAAGAUUGAAAACUAAACAUAUUUAUUUGAAGAGAUUAUGCAAAUCAAUGAACUAUAUAUGUGACAUGUAUAUAAUGAACAUUGUGUGCGUAAUAUAUCCUACCAUGGAAGCUUUCACGUAUCUAAACAUCUGAUGGAAGCUUUUCACCUACCUAAACAUAGCACAAAUCGUUAUUAAACAAAGUUUACCCCAUUUAAUAGAACAUUCCUUUAACCAAUACAUCUAACCACCACCACCCCCACCCCCACCNNNNN